rnacentral:rRNA from 1 species
GAUCAUGGCUCAGGAUGAACGCUAGCGACAGGCUUAACACAUGCAAGUCGAGGGCAGCAUAAAAGUAGCAAUACUUGGUGGCGACCGGCGCACGGGUGAGUAACGCGUAUGCAACCUACCUAUCGAGAGGGGAAUAACCCGGCGAAAGUCGGACUAAUACCGCAUAAAACAGGGACACCGCAUGGUGAUAUUUGUUAAAGAAAUUCGCUGAUAGAUGGGCAUGCGUUCCAUUAGGUAGUUGGUGAGGUAACGGCUCACCAAGCCGACGAUGGAUAGGGGAACUGAGAGGUUGGUCCCCCACACUGGUACUGAGACACGGACCAGACUCCUACGGGAGGCAGCAGUGAGGAAUAUUGGUCAAUGGGCGAGAGCCUGAACCAGCCAAGUCGCGUGAAGGAAGAAGGAUCUAUGGUUCGUAAACUUCUUUUGCAGGGGAAUAAAGUGCAGGACGUGUCCUGUUUUGUAUGUACCCUGAGAAUAAGGAUCGGCUAACUCCGUGCCAGCCGCCGC